rnacentral:rRNA from 1 species
AUUGAACGCUGGCGGCAUGCCUUACACAUGCAAGUCGAACGGUAACGGGCCUUCGGGUGCCGACGAGUGGCGAACGGGUGAGUAAUGCAUCGGAACGUACCUUUCAGUGGGGGAUAACGUAGCGAAAGUUACGCUAAUACCGCAUAUUCUGUGAGCAGGAAAGCAGGGGAUCGCAAGACCUUGAGCUGAUUGAGCGGCCGAUGUCAGAUUAGCUAGUUGGUGAGGUAAAGACUCACCAAGGCGACGAUCUGUAGCGGGUCUGAGAGGAUGAUCCGCCACACUGGAACUGAGACACGGUCCAGACUCCUACGGGAGGCAGCAGUGGGGAAUUUUGGACAAUGGGGGCAACCCUGAUCCAGCCAUGCCGCGUGAGUGAAGAAGGCCUUCGGGUUGUAAAGCUCUUUCGGUCGGGAAGAAAUCGCAUGGGUUAAUACCCUGUGCGGAUGACGGUACCGGCAUAAGAAGCACCGGCUAACUACGUGCCAGCCGCCGCCGUAAUAC